UAGCUCAGUUGGUUAGAGCGUGGUGCUGAUAACACCAAGGUCGUGGGUUCGAUCCCCGU
rnacentral:tRNA from 1 species